GUAACAACUUCCCUUUCAAGAGUCCAAGACCUCAAUUCUUUGGAGAAAAAUGGAUGAAGUGGCCUGGCUUCCAGCACCAAUGGCAAUUACCUGGAGGAAUGUCCUUAGGACAACCUGGAGGGAGAUUGAGAGCUUGUAAGUUCCAGGGAUGGAAUCCGAGUGAUCGCUAAGGCAAUUCAUAUAUUUUACCCACCUUAGGAUAACUGGUUUAGGAUUGGACAAACAAUCUCAGCUGCUUCAAUCAGACUCACUUCCUUUCAUUCAGAUGGAAGAUGGGAAAACACAAUGCUAUAGACUUUGGAAUAUUGUAUGGGCUCGUAAUCAGCGUACUGAAUUUCAAGCCAUUCCUUGGCCACUCAAUGGCCACUACUAAAUCACACAACCCACCCAACUGGAGAAUUAAAUCAAAUAUCUGGAGCAAUUUAAUGUGCAUGCAUUCGUGGCCACAAAAAUGAAGAUACAAAUAAGUAGGUGCUGGAUAUUAGACCUUCGUCAGACACAUAGACCAGUGGAACAGAAUAGAGAACCCAGAAAUUAGAUCACUCAUCUUCAACCAUCCAAUCUUCGACAAACCUGACAAAAAGCAAUGGGGAAAGGACUCCCUGUUCAAUAAAUGGUGCUGGGAGAAAUGGCUGGCCAUAUUGUGUCUAGAAUUUAUUCCUUCCAGUGGGUUCUUGGUCUCGCUGGCUUCAAGAAUGGAGCCGCAGACCUUUGCAGUGAGUGUUACAGCUCAUAAAGGUGUUGCAGACCCAAAGAGUGAGCAGCAGCAAGAUUUACUGUGAAGAGCGAAAGAACAAAGCUUCCACAGCAUGGAAGGGCACUUUCCGCUGCUGGCUCAGGUGGCCAGCUUUUAUUCCCUUAUUUGGCCCCACCCACAUCCUGCUGACUGGUCCAUUUUACAGAGCCCUGAUUGGUCCAUUUUACAGAGUGCUGAUUGGUGUGUUUACAAUCCUUUAUCUAGACACUGAGCACUGAUUGGUGCGUUUUUACAGAGGGCUGAUCAGUGCGUUUAUUUUCCUUUAGCUAGACACAGAGCGCUGAUUGGUGCGUUUUUACAGAGUGCUGAUUGGUGCAUUGACAAUCCUUUAGCUAGACACAGAGUGCUGAUUGGUGCAUUUUUACAGAGUGCUGAUUGGUGCAUUUACAAUCCUUGAGCUAGACACAGAGCGCUGAUUGCGUUUACAAUCCUCUAGCUAGAUAGAAAAGUUCUCCAAGUCCCCACUUGACCCAGGAAGUCCAGCUGGCUUCACUUCUCAAUAUGUAGAAAAUUGAAACUGGACCCCUUCCUUACACCACAUACAAAUAUUAAAUCAAAAGAGAUUAAAAACCUAAAUGUAAAACUCAAAACUAAGAAAACCUUGAAAGACAGCUGAGGCAAUACCAUUCGGGACAUAGGCCAUGAGCAAAGAUUUCAUGAGAAAAAUGCCAAAGGCAACUGCAAGAAAACAAAAAAUUGACAAAUGGGACCUAACUAAACUGAAGAACUCUGCACAGCAAAAG
rnacentral:lncRNA from 1 species